ensembl:lncRNA
UGAGAAAGCCAAUCUCCAAUAAGUUAAGGCUAAAGUAUUUUCAUCCAGGUGGAGAAGAGCUUAUGGAUGUGGAGCAUUUAUUAUAACGAGCCCUACUUCUCUUCUCCUUUCCAUUCUGUGAUGUGGACAUCGGCCUCUGAUAGGAAACACUCAGAUCCCAGGAGAGCCUGUCCUACCACAUGACAUUGAAACUGCCCAGGACAUUUCCUCCGUUCAUCACACAGGCUGCCUAAAAAAAGAGAUUACUCUCAGAGGAGCACAGUGGGAGCUCCUGCCAGCCCAACCUGCAGCUCCCUCACUCAUGUGGACAAACAGAGCAUGUGCGGGGAAGAGAUACAGGUUUGUUUUUCCUGUCAGAACAGGGUAUGAACAGCAGCAGGGCCAGCACCUGUGGAAAAGUCUCAUAUUUCUAAAACACUGUGGCCCACCCUUUAGUAGAGCAAUUGUACAAACUAUGGCUAGACAUGUCUGUCAGUAUCCUUGGAGUUCAUCUUCAGAUUUCCCUUGUUCUUUCAAACUAUGGUCCUCACCCUUCUCCUACAGCUCCUCCUGCUCUGUCUCGAUUUCACAUUUCCUAGUCCAUGCUUGUUGUAGGGCGCUGCUGAGAAACUAACACCUGGUGUGAGGUCAGGUGUUAUUUAUCACAACCGUCUGGGCUGGGAGUUGACAUUCGUAAAGGCGUUUGGCACUGCCAUUGUAAUUGAGUCUCCUUGUCUUUUCUGGGACACCAACAGAUAUAACUAUGUCAGGCCACCCUCACAGCUAUAUAUUACCCACCUCACUGAGGAAGACAAGAGAUGACUUAUCAUUCUGUAUCAGCUAAAUAAAAUUGCAUAGCACUAUUUGCAGAGCUCAUUAGUAAGCAUUUUCAUUUUAGUCACUUACAUUAGGUAACCUGCCAGCUAUGCCUUCAAGAAGAAUGAAGCACAUCCUUUAUAUAUAUAUAUAUACAGAACCAGUCAAAAGUUUGGACACACCUACUCAUUCAAGGGUUUUCUACAUUGUAGA